rnacentral:rRNA from 1 species
GAAGGAAAGAAAGGAACCGCUGGCUGGCUGGUUAAUUCCACUCCACUCCACUCCACCUUCGCUUCGCCGUCCGGUUGGGGUAGGGACGUGCACGAGGGACGAAGCGAGGUGAGCAGUGCGAGGUCGACGGCCGGCCGGGGGGUGGUCGUGCGCUAGAGGUGAGCGAGGCAGGCCGGCCUAGGGGAAGGAGGGGAGGCGUCGCUUGUCGGUACAGAAGGAGCAGCCUGUUGGGGUUGUGCCAGUGGCUGGCGCCGGAGAAGUCGUUCUCGUCGUUCCUGCUCUUCUUCUUCGUCCUCCUCUUCUUUCUCCUCCUCCUCCCGCCGCCGCCCAAGUAGCUGUUCCAGUUCCUGAAGUAGGUGCUGUAGCCGCUCUUCUAGCUCCUCCGCCACCCCAAGCCGUUCGGCUCGCGCCUGCACCGGGCCUAGGUGCACGGGGUGUAGCCGGAGGUGGCGCGGCUGGAGCACCACCUGCACGAGUAGUUCUUGGGGUUGGGCCACGGGUAGGGCGAGCAGCUGUAGCUGAUGGAGUAGCUGUCGCUGCCGGCCUUCGACCACCGCCCGGAGUAGGGCCUGCGGCCGUGGUAGGCGCGCGUGCCCCUCCUCUGCCAGUUCCACGGGUAGUGCGAGCUGAAGCUGCUGUAGGCCUCGUGGAUGCGCCUGUAGUUCGGGCCCUCGUAGUAGGGGAUGGACGAGGCCCAGCAGAAGGACCACCUGCACGGGCACAAGCCGGCGUAGUUCUAGGGCGACCUGUUCAGGCCCCUCUAGGGCUAGGGCAUGUUCGGCCUGCACCUGCACCUGUUCUAGUUCAAGGUGGUGAAGAGCAAGCUCCUCUGGUGGCGGUGGUAGGUGGACUCGGACCUCUUGUUCUUGCUGAAGCUGGAGCCCGAGUUGGACGACGUCAUGGUCUACACCGAGCCGCUGCUGUCGCACCACCUCCGCCUCGAGUGGCUCAGGUGGUCCUAGCUCUUCGUCCCCUAGUGGUUCUACGUCUAGGGUAAGUGGAAGUCCGGGUUCCUGGACCCUAGACGGCAGACCCUGUACUAGUCCCCGUCCCCUUGACCCAUGUCGUAGUUCCCGUUCUAGCUACAGCUGUGUGGGAAACCGUUGUACUUCGACGGGUAGCUGUUCCAGCCGCCUUGGUGAGCGGAGUUCUUCCUGCUGCUGCUACUGCUCCUCACUUCACGACAAUGACUUGUAUGUUCUUUCAGUUCGUCCCUCGGUCCCUCCUAGGUCGACUUGAGAAAUGAGAUCGAAUACCAUAGAAACAACUACCGUAGUAGGCUUGUAGCAGGCGCAAAAAUACAAAGCCACGAGUCACAAGAAGCACCCUUGAGUAGGUCACACAUAAGAAAGACACAAUUGAAACAGUUCACCUUUGUCUGGACUCUUAUUUAAGAACAAACACCCCACACUACAAUCGGAAGAAGUCGGUUUUAUAACACAGGUACGGACGAGGAAAAGGCGUGGGUCAGUCGCUUCUAAUUAGAGUGUGCGUAGUCACCUAUGUUUAUGUAUAAAAAAGCUAGUGUUCCUAAUACUAGUUUGUUUGUCUUUUUUCCAGUCUCUCUAUGUAAGACACUGGAGGGAGAGAUAUGUUUGACGAAGUGAUGCUACCGGUCUAAAAAGGAAAGGUAUU